AACGCAUCUUGCGCCACUCGGUUUAUCCGUGAGGCAUGCCUGUUUGAGUAUCAUUAUAUUCUCAAAACCUUUGAUUAGGUUUUGGAUCUGGAGGUUGCUGGCCUUUAAGUCGGCUCCUCUCAAAUACAUUAGCGACCGUCUCGUUGCUCGAUCGGUGUAAUAUUUUGUAUAACACUGUGAUGGCUGCUUUCGAUCGCUCUCUAAUCCCAACUUACUUUAUGUUGUGAUCUCAAAUCAGGUAGGACUACCCGCUGAACUUAA
rnacentral:misc_RNA from 1 species